GCCAUUGGCCAGCUAUAGGCAGAUGUAUUAAAGUUAAAUACUGUUCUUUAUCUAUACUCAUCAAACACUCUGUGUAAAAAGAAUGGCCUCCUAAUAAAUACCUAUGAAUCAUUUCAGAGACCUUUCACCGGAUACGACAGGGACUUUAUAUAUGAUUCCAUCGUGGAGGAUGAGCCACACUACCCCUCAUCCCUGGACUCCGAAGCAGUAAACUUCAUAUCACAGCUGUUGAAGAAGAAUCCUGAGGAGAGGCUAGGUUCCACCCCGGGGAAUGCCGCAGAUGUAGCAGAACAUCCAUUCUUUAAUGGCAUUGUCUGGGAUGAUAUUAUCGAGAAGAACGUAACAGCUCCGUUCGUGCCCAGCCUAAAUGGACCGGAGGAUGUGGGGUAUUUCGAUGAGGAGUUCACCAAACUGUCUGCGAAUCUGACCCAGCCCAAAGGACCCCCUGCUGAGAUGGCAAGCGAGAUCGAUGAAGCCUUUCUGGACUUUAACUAUGCAGCAUUUUAAGUCCAAAGGGGAUGAUGGGUAAGAAAAGACCUAAUUAAAAAUACAUGAAGCACAAGUCAGAACAAGAAGUGCCUAGCAUUAGUAUUCCUUGAGUUAUGGGUGCAGGGGCACUGAUCAGAGCAGAGCUGGCUAUGGGAAGCAGCCAUAUUGGGUGCAUGCAGGGCAAAGUGGAUUUUAUUGAAAUAUUAAGAUGAUCCCUAUAA